rnacentral:rRNA from 1 species
GGGGAGCUCAUGUCUCAGGCGGGAAGAGAGGUCCUUAUAAAGGCCGUAGCACAAGCCCUUCCGACGUUCCUUAUGAGCAUUUUCAAGUUCCCAAGAAGCACAUGCGAUGACCUUGCACGCAUGAUCCAUAGCUACUGGUGGGGCGCAUACAGAGGGAAGAGGAAGACGCACUGGAAGGCUUGGGAUCACUUGCUGCGGCCAAAAGCUGCUGGUGGGAUGGGUUUCAAGGAUUUUAGGAUGUUCAAUCAAGCCUUGUUGGCAAGGCAAGCUUGGAGAUUGCUGGUCAACCCUGAGAGUCUCUGUGCAAGAGUCUUGAAAGCACAUUACUAUCCCAAUGGACGGCUAGAGGACACGGUUUUCUCCACAAAUGCAUCACAAACUUGGCAGUCCAUCGUCCAUGGGUUGGAGCUUUUGAAACAAGGCCUGAUUUGGCGUAUUGGUAAUGGCAGAUCG